rnacentral:misc_RNA from 1 species
CAUUCCUUUGUGACGACGCAAUCGUGGCAGUUCUCCCCCAUCAGGACAGACGGGGCAAAUUCCGCAACGGUCGCGAUCGUCAUUCUUUCCGAGGCACAAGGCAACCCGAUGGGGCAAAUAAGGGAGACAAACCCCAGCCCGUAUAACUUUCCGCAUCCAAAACCACGAGCAAUGGACAAAUGCGCCAGCGCAACCAAUUAAUGGCCUGCGUGGAACACAUGCAUUGCUACGAGGUUGGCCCCGUGACAUGGCAGCCAAGGGGCGAAAGGGCACAAUCAUGACAUUCAAUUUCCACCGUAUUGGGCAACCAGCACACGAACCUAGCAUGACUUCGAAAAAUUUACCGAGUCCUUGUAUCUGGAGGGAUCGUGGCAAAACAGUUCGGUGCGCGAAGCAUGGAGCCUGCCUUACCAAUCGAUCCUAACACCACUCACGCGC